rnacentral:rRNA from 1 species
UACAGAGGGUGCUAGCGUUAAUCGGAAUUACUGGGCGUAAAGCGUGCGCAGGCGGUUUUGUAAGUCAGGUGUGAAAUCCCCGGGCUCAACCUGGGAAUGGCAUUUGGGACUGCAAGGCUGGAGUGCGGCAGAGGAGACUGGAAUUCCUGGUGUAGCAGUGAAAUGCGUAGAUAUCAGGGGGAAUACCGAUGGCGAAGGCAGGUCUCUGGGCUGACACUGACGCUCAUGCACGAAAGCGUGGGGAGCAAACAGG